AUGAACGCUGGCGGUAUGCUUAACACAUGCAAGUCGAACGGGAUGCUUCGGCAUCUAGUGGCGGACGGGUGAGUAACGCGUGAGAAUCUGGCUUCAGGUUCGGGACAACAGUGGGAAACUGCUGCUAAUACCGGAUGUGCAGGAAUGUGAAAGAUUAAUUGCCUGAAGAUGAGCUCGCGUCUGAUUAGCUAGUUGGUGGGGUAAGAGCCCACCAAGGCGACGAUCAGUAACUG
rnacentral:rRNA from 1 species